CCUACGGGAGGCUGCAGUGGGGAAUUUUGGGCAAUGGACGCAAGUCUGACCCAGCAACUCCGCGUGAGGGAAGAAGGCUUUCGGGUUGUAAACUACUUUUAAGGGGGACGAGCAGAAGACGGUACCCCUUGAAUAAGCCACGGCUAACUACGUGCCAGCAGCCGCGGUAAUACGUAGGUGGCAAGCGUUGUCCGGAUUUACUGGGGGUAAAGGGCGUGCAGCCGGAGAGGCAAGUCAGAUGUGAAAGCCACAGGCUCAACCUGUGAAAUGCAUUUGACACUGUUUGCCUUGAGUAUCGGAGAGGUCAUCGGAAUUCCUAGUGUAGCGGUGAAAUGCGUAGAUAUUAGGAAGAACACCAGUGGCGAAGGCGGAUGACUGGACGACAACUGACGGUGAGGCGCGAAAGCGUGGGGAGCAAACAGGAUUAGAUACCCGGGUAGUC
rnacentral:rRNA from 1 species